GUUUUUCGCUUUAAGAUGAGUCCAUGUGGGAUUAGCUAGUUGGUAGGGUAAUGGCCUACCAAGGCUUUGAUCCCUAGCUGGUCUGAGAGGAUGAUCAGCCACACUGGAACUGAGACACGGUCCAGACUCCUACGGGAGGCAGCAGUAGGGAAUAUUGCGCAAUGGGCGAAAGCCUGACGCAGCGACGCCGCGUGAGUGAUGAAGGCCUUCGGGUCGUAAAGCUCUGUCGCAGGGGAAUAACACAAUG
rnacentral:rRNA from 1 species